rnacentral:piRNA from 1 species
UCACAUUCAGAAGUACUGUGGGCUAGGUA